UAUGUCCCCAAUUCAGGCCAUAGUCGUGUAAUUCCCUGAUCCAGUAUACCGAAGAUCUACAAUGGGUAAAAACACUCCCUGGGGCACAGCUUCUUGAUGGGUGGUGGAGAGACUCUGAAUGUCGCAUAAUACUCCCCGAAAAACUAGGAGAAAGAGUAUUACAAAAAAUCCACCACAGCACCCGCCUAGGCACCAGGAGGAUGCAGGACUUACUGAGACAGACGAAACUACGAAUAAAAGAGGCCCCCAGCAAAAUUGACCAAAUUGUUGCCAAAUGCAAAGUCUGUCAACUCACUAAUGCAGGAAAGAACGCUCAAAACCCAGGAGCAAGACAGUGAGGGGACAAGCCGGGAUUCUAUUGGGAAGUAGAUUUCACUGAAGUAAAACCGGGAAAAUAUGGGUAUAAAUAUUUACUAGUUUUCAUAGACACCUUUUCAGGAUGGGUCGAGGCCUUCCCUACAAAGAGCGAAACGGCUCAGACAGUGGCUAAGAAACCACUGGAGGACAUCCUACCCAGGUACGGAUUCCCAGUGAUGACUUGUUCAGAUAACGGACCUGCGUUCGUUUCUGAGCUUUACAGAAGAUCCAUGAAGAAGUGUGGCCCAAACUAAAAGACCUGUACGGAACAGGGCCAUCUCCGACACCUCUCAGCUACAGGCCAGGCGACUGGGUGCUAGUAAAACGUCACCGGAGGGAAAACUUGGAACCCAGGUGGAAGGGACCCUUCCAGGUCAUCCUAACGACUCGACCGCUCUCAAGGUAGACGGAGUGUCCUCCUGGGUCCACCAUGUCCACGCCAAACUGGCAAACCUGUUCCCAGACAUCAUAAACCCCCCCUGGAUGAAUGGGCCUGGAGAGUCGACAAAACUCAAGCCAAGAACAAUCCUCUGAAGCUUAAACUGCACCGCAUUCCCCAGGCGGUAAAGCACUAGAACAAUGAGGCCUGACCUCAUAAUCCUACUGAUUCUUUUUUUUAAUUUAUUUUUUAUUUUAUUUCUUAUUUUUUGACAGGCAGAGUGGACAGUGCGAGAGACAGAGAGAAAGGUCUUCCUUUUGCUGUUGGUUCACCCUCCAAUGGCUGCAGCGGCCGGCGCGCUGCGGCCGGAGCACCGCGCUGAUCCGAAGGCAGGAGCCAGGUGCUUCUCCUGGUCUCCCAUGGGGUGCAGGGCCCAAGCACUUGGGCCGUCCUCCACUGCACUCCCUGGCCACAGCAGAGAGCUGGCCUGGAAGAGGGGCAACCGGGAGAGAAUCGGGCACCCCAACCGGGACUAGAACCCGGUGUGCCGGUGCCGCAAGGCGGAGGAUUAGCCUAGUGAGCCGCGGCGCCGGCCCUACUAAUUCUGUCUACUUGGUGGGAGGGUGACUUUGGACAUCAUUCCUCACCAACCUCCACCAGGCUCCUGGACCUUGAGUGUGUCGGGAAGAGUCAUUGACCGCUAUAAUGGCACGGGGCAGCCCACGUCACCGUAGAUCGCUGCACCCUAUGGCAGGAAGUGGACACGAGGCUCAUCUCCAGGCCCGGAGCUAGGACAUUUACCUCUCCAGCCAAUUGGCAUUGGAUUCCUGGGGUAAAAUUGGUGGGGUGCGGGCAAGCUGGUGUAGAGGCCGACCUACAACAAACUAAAUGGUAUGUCUGUCCUGCCGAAGCUUCCCCAGACUGUGGGGGGGCAGGCGAUUAUUACUGCUAUCACUGGGGAUGUGAGACAAUAGCCUCAUGGUUGACUCCUAGGGACAAAAAUCUGGAGAUGGCCAGAGUGGGUGGGUCAAGUCCUCAAGUGGGAAGAAGAAACCCAAUCCAAAUUAAGGUAAAAACGUGGCAAGAAAUACAGAAUUCCCAAUGGGUUAAGGGAAAAACAUGGGGACUGAGACUAUAUGUCUCCGGGUCUGACCCGGGCAUUCAGUUUACAAUCCAGUGGCGGUCUCAACCGAGCCACACAAUUGGGGUGGGGCCGAAUAAGUUCCUUAUUCCCGAGCCUGAGCCCUCGCCAACCCAAAGACCCAGACCCAAUCCAAGUCCUCCUCCCCGAGUGAAAAAGGGCAAGGACCGGCCCAUUAUGACCAGCCGAGGCAAAGGUUCAAAAUCAGGAGGCGCGCAAAGACAGGGCCCGACCUGCCUCGGCCAGUAACAGGAAAAAGUCAGAACCCCAGCAAUCUGGUCCGCUGUGGCGACUCUUAAAUAGCGCAUAUAUAGCCUUGAACGCUUCUUUCCCUAACUUAACUAAUUCCUGCUGGCUGUGUUAUCAGGCCUCGCCACCCUAUUAUGAGGCGUCAGCUGUGACAAGUCUCUCACUCUCUGGGACAACCCAAGAGGGCUGCCGCUGGCAGAGACAGAUGGAAUCUGGGACCACCUUACAGGUCGUGCGGGGUCGGGGAACAUGCAUAUCCACAGUUUCUACUGGAUCGAUGUGUAGCCACACUGUCCUCAGCACCGCCUCCCUGUUCUACCCAGCGCCAGGAAAUACGCGGUGGGCCUGUAAUGCUUCGGGAGUGACUCCGUGUGUGUCAGGGACAGUGUUACAAAGUAAUAAUGAAUGGUGCCUUCUAGUUAGAUUGUACCCUCGAAUAAUAUAUCAUCCCUAUGAAGAACUCCUGUCCAGCCUAAAGCCCACCAUGUCACUCAGCAGAGAGCGCCGGGAAGUGGCAGCCGCUUUUAUCACUGUAGCUGGCCUGUUAGGGCUCGCAGGGACAGGGCUGGGAGCCACUGCAGUAGCCAAGCAAGGAAGCCAGUAUUCAGCUCUCCGACUGGCGAUAGAUGAAGACUUAGCGAGAAUUGACCGAUCUAUCGCUGGCUAACCAAGUCUCUCUGAUCCCUGUCAGAAGUUGUCCUCCAAAACAGACGAGGACUGGACAUGCUGUUUCUACAGCAGGGAGGACUGUGUGCCGCCUUGGGGGAGGAGUGUUGUUUCUAUGCCGACCACACAGGGUAGUAGAGGACUCCAUGGCUAAAGUACGCGAGGGGCUAGAAAAAAGAAAAAGAGAAAGGGAACAACAAGAAGGAUGGUUUGAAUCAUGGUUUAAUUAUUCUCCUUGGCUAACAACCUUAUUAUCGGCUAUAACUGGCCCUCUACUUUUGUUAAUAAUAAUCUUAACUAUAGGCCCCUGUGUGAUUAACAAACUAGUAACAUUUGUUAAAGACAGGAUAAACACGGUUCAGCUUAUAGUGCUGCGGACACAGUACCAACCCUUAGAUGAACAGGAAUUAUAAAGCUUAAGACCUGUAAAGGAGCCAAGAUUGGCUCCAAAUAAGUCCCAUGUGAAAGGGGGGAAUGAGAAGUCACCUGCACAACCAGCUUUUACUACGCCCUUAUUAUCCAUUACCUAAAGUGUAGCCACAUUAGCUUGUUAAGCAACUAUUAGUAAUAAUAAGCAAUGCUAGAUGUCGUUGACUUUAUAAUAUGUAUUAUGUUAGAUGUGGAGCUAAGUAAUCCAGUAACUAUAUUAAGUUGAUGAUUGAAUGACCUGAACCACUGCCCGUUCCUGGCACUCGCUAUAGUAUACUCCCCUUCCCUCCAUCUGGCCAGAUGUGACCCUACCCUGACCCAGAUCCAGGAAUGUACAGUAAUUGCCUAUGCCUAUAAGGUUCAAAGCUUUAGAUAACAACCAGCCACUACCCCGGAGUCGGCGGGGUAGCGAUGUUGGGAUUUAUCAGAAGUGUCAACUUGAUCUAUAGCAUUCCCUUAAAGCCUGCUUGUACAUGAUAAUAAAAGCUUUGUAAGAAUCGGGCUCGGGGCUUCUCGGGUGCAUCCUCUCCUGGAGGCACUGAGAGGCCGGGUUCGAACUCGUAAUAAAAACGACCCUGCUAAUUGGCUUC